UGCUCAGCCUGCUUCCUAAUAGAAGAACCCAGAACCACCAGCCCAGGGGUGGCACCACCCACUAUGGGCUGGGUUCUCCCCCAUCAAUCACUAAUUAAGAUGAUGUCUUACAGCCUGCUCUUAUGAAGGCGUUUUCUCAAUUGAGGCUGCCUCCUCUCUUGAUGACUGUAGUUUGGGUUAAGUUGACAUAAAACUGGCCAGCACACCCCCCUUCCUUCCUUUCUUCCUCCCUGACCCUGGGUCCUUCUUUCUGCCAUCCCCCCACCCCACCCCCACUCCACCCCCAUACACAGAGGACUAAACCCAGGGCCUCCAGGAUUACUACCACUAAGCCACACCCCCAGUCCUUUUUGUACUUUUUUAUUUGGGGGGAAGGGGAGUCUCACGUGGCCCAGCCUAGCCUGGGCGUGGCUUCCCAAGGGGCUGAGAUGACAGGCCUGUCCCACUAGUUUCAGCUCAGACCAGCAAAUGUCUCUCUACAGCUGGUGGCCUCUGAGCACACCUCGGCACCAACAGGCAAGGUGGGAGAGGGUCACUGGAGGUACCAGGACACACCUGGGGGUGCUUGUGGUCCCACCCUUAGUCAUCACCCCUACUGGGACAGAAACGGCCAAUCAUGACGUAGGCAUGUGGAAGACAGCUUCUCUUAUCUGUGUGACUCUUUGGAACUGCACUGGACGGUCCAUUCUUCUUACCUGUAGCUUGUCACAGAACAUUCCUCAUGUGUCCUCAUCGCUAGCUCCAUAAGCAUUUGGAAGGGGUAGAUUUAGAGCUGCUGACAAUUCAUUGCUAAUGACAGUGACUAAUUUUGAAAGUCAUUUUAUUGGGUCUACACUUGCAUUCAUCUCUCUAGGCAUGCAUGGAGACGUGCAAACUGUUCAGCACAUAGGCACUUGUACGAUACUUUCUAAACAUGUGUUUGUUGCAUGCAGAAUCAAGGAAGCCAGACAGGAGUAGCUUGAGGCAGGGAUCCAGAACUGGACCGCCUGGGCUUACAACUUGGUUCUGUUGUUUUCUGCGUGGAUGACCAGAAACAUCCCUCACACAAGCUUCACAACACAUUGAUCUGUUUCAUAAUGUCGUUGGGAGGGCUAGCUGAGUGACACAAGUCGCGUUGCCUGGGAAACAGCCUCAAAACAGAAGCUAGCAUGCAGGCUUUCCUUGGAGGCUGCCCUGGGACCAACUCCCAUGGGAGGCAGCAGAGAAGGCAGGCUGGACAGGGCAGGAAUCUGGCUGCAAUUCGGCUUCACCAAAGACCCCUGUCAAAGCCACCAGGAUCUCCUCUAUUAUUUUCCUAUGCAUAUUAGACUGUGUGUUUUGUCUCAGUGCUGUGGAAGCUGUAGCAUGCUGUCUGAUCUCUGUUUCAGAGAGAAGGAAUGAGUUCUCCAGCUGAGGGGCAUGGUGCUUGCACACAGCCCCUAAAUCUGAAGCUAGUGACCUUUCAGAGUUGUGAGGAAGGGGUGGGGGGAGGUGUCAGAUAUUUCUGUUCCCGUGUGGGUCUGUCACGGACUGCAGUCUGCUCCCACUCCGCUGACUCCCAGCAAGGUCAUAUCGUCCAGGUAAAGCAGCCUUAUGAAGGGCAAAGCCCCGAGAGGGCCUGAAGCUGGGGAUCAAACGCUCCACUGCAGAAAGGAGAUAAAUAGAAAAACAAAGCCCCCGUUCCAACGAGACAAGUCACAUGCUGAGGCCAAUUUUGUAUCAUAUAGUAUUAUAUAUUGUCUCUACACAUCUUAUUUUCAACUUCUUGGAUGCUUUUGUUUUUGUACACAGGACAAGGAAUGUGUAAGAUAUCCCAACACUUCUUGUACUUUUCUUUUGAGACGGUCUCUUUAAGUUGCCCAGGCUGGUCUGGAACUUGUGAUUGUCUUGUCUCAGCUUCCUGAGUGGAUGGGAUUAUAGGCCUGCCACACCAGAUUCAAGCCACGGCACAUGGCCUGAGUAGCAUCUGUCAUUGUGGCCACUUGUGAGAGGUUUGGGAUGUGUGGCCUUUUCGUCCUCAUCCAAUCAUGGGAGACAUCACCCUUCAAGGAAUUGGUGAGUUUAACAGGUCAUACAUAAACCAAAUGCAAAAAACAGGAUUAACGCUGUAUAGAUAUUCACACAGAAUUGUUCACAGAAGCCAAAAGACAGAAAUUACCCACCGAGAAAGAACAGACGUGAUCUCUACACAAUGAUUUCCAAGUAUUAAGGUCACUUCCUUAUUCCCGAAUGACCAAAAAGAAUAUACAACCAGAGAAUAGGUGAAUCAUAGACACGGGGAAGUGAUUUGAGGGUUUAUCUCCUCCAAUUGCCUCAUCUGCUGAUGAAGCAAAGCAAGUAAAAGAGAUAAAUGCCCUGACUUGAUGGAGCCUACGGCAGUGUCUUGAUUUAAAUUCAGGUCACCGGGCUUUAUGCUCAGGGCCCCUCUAUUGGACCGCAUCAAAAACUGCAGCUGGAUUGUCUUGAUAGUUGACGCCAGUUCUAAUGAGCUGAUAGCAGCUGCCCACACUAAGGAGACUCAAGUCCGAGGCUUCCUACGACCCUUUUUAUUAGGGUGCUGUUUUCAUUUCUAGAAAUUCCUUGUCCCACAGAUGAACCAAAAGUGCCAUGUUGAAGAUAAGUUUUAUGGAGACAAGUAUAGCACUGUUUGUAAGGAGAAACUGGGUUGCCAUUAAGCUCUGAAUCUAACCAGAUUGCUCCUUCACGCCUGGAAUAUUGUCCUUUGGCUUUUGUACUGUUUUUCCUCCCCAGGGGAAGAUGUUAAGACUCAGAUAAUCACAGGAGCCCCUCUGCCCUCCGCUGGUGCAGCCAGGGAUUUCCAGGGAUGAGAUGGCUGAGCUGAGUGUCACUGGAGGGGACCAAGGAUAAGACAGAAGCUAUUUCCAGAGCACCCUGGGUGACAGCAGGAGUUGGAGCUAGGGCAUCCGUCCUUGUUCUUUCUGGUGAUGAGAGGUCAGGGCUCCAGAGCGGAAGGUUAAUGGAAAAAGAUGAAACUUUUAUCAUGACAGAACAGGCAUGACAAAAUUUACAUUUCAACCAUUUUGUGCAUCUAAUUUAGUGAUUGUGACACUUGAUGUGCCACCGUCAGCAUGGGUGUCCAGAAUCUUUGUCAUCUCAAACAGAACUCUGGACUCAUUAAGCAAUAGCUCCCCAGUCCCUCUCGCGUGACCUCUACUCUCCUCUCUGUGUUUUCCUAGUCUAGGUGACUUGUGGGAAUGCACUGAUAAAACAUCUGUCCUUUCGUGCCUGUCGUCUUGCCGGAAGGGUGAAAGUUUCAAGGUGCAUCCAAGUCAUGCUUUAGCACUCACUUCCGUCUUAGUGCUGAACGACAUCCCUUUUUCAAGCAUGGGUUCCAUACUGUGGAACAGUCCUCAAAGCCAAGCAGAAAGUAGUGGUUAGCCCCGCAACAGCCAUGCCACUAGGGCACUGGCGGACACAUCUUACCUGCCCGUUCAGUACGGCAGCUUACGGAAUCCAGCGUUGGAAGCCUGUUUAUUUCCUAAGGAGAGACAGAAAGGGUGAGGACCCACAGGAGAGUCGCCUUGGUCAUGACAUCUCUUGCCAGCAAUGGACCAGUGACUAAGACAAGUUGUCACUUCAGAACAAACUUGAGAGUGGACCUGUGCCAACAAAUCAGAGGGAUGGUCUUGCAUGUCUGAGGAUUACCGGACUGUCCAAGCAGAAGCCCCUGUACGAGGAUGAGGUUACCCAGGCAACUAGCAAUCUUCUGUGCAGUGUUCCUGCCCUUUCCCAUGGAAACACAGUUUAUGCGUGUGCUGUGUGAUCUCUCUUGACACUGUCAUCAGGAACAGCAUUUAGGCCUCGUAGCCUAACAGCCCCAGGCUAAGAAGAGGAAUCCUUCCUUCCGUUUCUACAUGAUGUUCUCAUCUGAACCACAGGAUGAACCCUAGACUGGAAACCACAACAGUUCACGCAAAGCAGAUUUUCUUUCUGCUAUGACGGGAAGCAGCAUGGAGCCCCCCCACCAGAAGCUGAGCAGGUGUCCAAACCACAUCCUUGGACUUCCCAGUCUUCUGACCACUGUGUCCCUUAUACAUCACCAUGCUGUUGUUUGGUUCCAGCAAUAGCUAACAGAAUAGGACAGUCCACUUAAAGAAAGGCACGCAUCCCAAGCAAGAAAGCUGGGCCUGUGGAUUUUGUGAGCAAGGCUCUUUGCAUUUAAGUCACAUUCAAUAAAUGGUAAUUAUUUAUCGGACUCCCCCAUCACCGAAGGAUUUUGUGAAGAUGACAGGGGGUAAUAUGAAUGAAGUUAAAGCGUCCUGGAUAAAUUGUGAAGUACUCAAUGCUAGAAAAAUGCACCGGACCUGGACAACAGGCAUUGUUUCGCUGGGCAAGGCAGCGGCAGAGAAGAUUCACGGUGGGAGAAUGUGUGGCUAACGUAUUGUUAGAAAGCUUCCCUCUGUGGAAGAUGAGAAACACCAAGCUGGGUUUCCCUGGGUAUUGCCCCCCGCCUCAACAACUUGAAGUCCACAUGCCACAGGGCUACCUUUUGCAGGACUAUUCAUAAUAGCUGAGCUACAGAACUAACCCGGGGGUCCAACAACAGGGAAGUGAAUAAAGAAAAUGUGGUGCAUACACAAAGGAAUUUUUUUUUUUUUGAGCCAUAAAGAAGAAAGAAGUCACGCUGUAAGAAAAUGGACACAGCUGCAGAUGACCAGAUUAAGCCAAUCCCCAGUGUGGUAGUUUGAAUGUCACUGGCCCCCGUAAUCUCCUAGGGAGCGGCACUGUUGGGAGGGGUGGCUUCGUCGGAGUGGGGGUGGCCUUGCUGGAGGAAGUGUGUCAGUCGACUUCCUGUUGCCUGCAAGAUGUAGGACUCUCGGCUCCAGCGCCAUGUCUGCCUGCACAGCCUCAUGCU